rnacentral:rRNA from 1 species
UACGUAGGGGGCAAGCGUUGUCCGGAUUUAUUGGGCGUAAAGAGCGCGUAGGCGGCCAGGUAGGUCUGCUGUGAAAACUCGAGGCUUAACCUCGAGAUGUCGGCGGAAACCAUCUGGCUAGAGUCCGGAAGAGGAGAGUGGAAUUCCUGGUGUAGCGGUGAAAUGCGCAGAUAUCAGGAGGAACACCAAUAGCGAAGGCAGCUCGCUGGGACGUUACUGACACUGAGGCGCGGAAGCGUGGGGAGCGAACAGG